CCCAGAGCGGACCCCGGCCCGGCCCGGCCCGUCGGCGUGCUCCCCGGGGUGGAGAAGUGAACCAGACCCAAGAGCAAACCGCGGCGCGACCUGUAAUUUGGGGUUCGAUUCCCCUUCCUCUGCAGGAUGCCUCUGGACAUGCUAAAGAAAUCCCCAAGAGAGGAGCAUAACACAGAGACCUUAAACUCUGCCAGUGUAAUACUCUUUCUGAGACCUGGAAAAGAGGGACUCAUUUCCCGAGUGGAUGUAGGAGCAAAGCUGUUCUGGGUGUGCUUCAGCUAACAGGGGGUGGCAGCAACGGGAGAGAGUGGUUGAGGAGAUGUGAAGUGACUGGCAAGGGCCCUGAAGGAGGCAGAAAUAAACUGCAGCAGAGCAGAAAACAGCAUGAUCUUUUACACUGUGCUCUUUACCUAGCCCUGCUUAGGAGUAGCCUGGCCCUCACCAUGCAUUUGCCCCAGUUUCCAAUCUGAAGGAAGGGGAGACAGGUGAAGGUGAGUUUCUCCCUUAUACCUUCCCACCAGCAUCUCCAUCUGCAAGGAAGCUCCUCUACAUGCCUUCCUCUGGUUCAUCUCCUCAGUUCCCACAGGGGUGCCUUAUUUACUCAGGGGAUGGUUGUGCCAUGAAGAGGGUGUUGUGGUUUACUGUCCCUGGCCCCACUGUUUGUCAAGCACCACUUCUCCUAGCUGGUGGCAUAGAAAGAUUUAAUUUAACCAUGGACAUGAAAACCACAACCUGGAGCAAGGCAGCUUCUGCAGUGUAAUUAAUUUGAGAGCAAACGGACUGGGAUCAAAAAAGGUCACAGUGACAAAGUGGAGUUAAAAGCUGACUUAAAUCAACAUGCUCAAGCAAUUCAGAAACAAAGGGAAUAAGGAAAUAAUAUGUGACAGAUUCAAAAAUCAAUAAACCGGUUGUGGUUAGUGUGCAUUUGAUUCAUCAUCAAUACUGCUCCUUUUGAUCCUUCUGUUUUGAUUUGGUUUCUGACGUGGUGUGUGUAUUUGAAAGAGAAGUGGAUAAAACCUUCCAGUGAAAUGGAGGGUUUGUCUCCAUGUAGAGUCUCUUGGAUAAAGAGAAUGGAUUUAAAAUCCAAUUUAAAUUUUCUGAGCUUAAGAAAUCACAAAUAAAAGUGGCAGUAAUGAGAUAUGAGGAGAAAAAAAAAAUCUUAAAACAUAAGCGUCAAUGUCAGUGUAUUUGUGCUGGGGGAUAGGAUCAAGUUCUUCUCAUCUUCUCAUCUACUGAGAGCACUGCCUAUUCAAACAUUGAAUGGAUCAAACAUACUUGGAAGUUUUUGAGUCUACCAAGCAACACUUCAGCUCAUUUUUGUGUGUAAUCUGUGUUCAGCACUGUGUUUUCCAAUUUCUUCAGUGCAAUGUUCGGCCAGCCUCCAUGCUGACUCUUGAGGAAACAGUCCACUACUGCCUGUAGUAAAUGAAGCAGUGUAUUACCUAGGAGAAAAUUCAUUUGGACUGCUUAUUUUUGCUGGGUCACAGUCCAGAGUAGCCAGCAAGACAUUUGCCAAGGGCAGGACAUAAUGUGCUUUGCCUGUUAUGUUAAUGCCUUCAUGGUCCCAUACAGAAAGUAUUUUUCUUUCAUUACGUUGCAGUAGUUCUACCUUGUCAUUGCCCUUGCAAAGAAAUAAAGCCUUUUCCACUGAUAAUCGAGAUCCAGGUGCCUCAGCUAUCUCUGUGUUGUCUUGAAGAGUUUCAGAUGUUAUGGGGCAAAUUAAAUGGCCCCUCUAAUAGUGCACCUUAUAUUUCAAGGAACAGUGUUUUCUUCUUUGAGGAUUCACAUAUCUCAAUUUACCCACAGUUUUAAUUUUUUGGAUUUGGGGAGAUUUUUGGAUGUGGAGAUCCAUUCACAUUUUGAUGAGAGGGAGGGACACAGGGGCAAAAGUGCUGGCAACAGCAUAAAAUGGCCAUCUGCCUUCCUCUCACAAUGUCCCAUAAAGCUGUCUUUCUUAAGGCAAAUUCCCAGUGACACUCAGUAGUGCAUUGAUUGCUGGGCAGGAGCUACAUCUUCAUUCUUGCAGGUUAGAGACCUGUGUAUGUGGGACAUGUCCUGCACUUUUCACCUGCCUUUAUAAAAAAAAAAAAGAACCAACACGGUAUUGAUUUGUUACACGUGCUCAUUUUCACCUGUAGGUUUUCCCAAUCCCACUGCAAACUCUACUGGUAUUAUUUGGAAUUGCGGAAUGAGUCUACUUGACUUUCCAAGUAUCAGUUGUCCAGACGCUAUUAAAUUUUCAGUCUUUCAGGAGAACUAAAUGUGACACACAGUAAGAGACCUCGUUGGUGGUGCUUUUGAGUACAUGAAAGCAUUCGUUUUUCUCAUACCAUUUAAUUUUGUUUUUCACAUCUGAGCCUUGCAAUGGCAGUUGUACAGACUUUAUAGUUUGGGGCUGACCUUGGAAAGAGUGAGAAGUGUGACAGUACUCUUGUUUACAGCAGGCAUUGAGAGAAUAUUUCAGGACAGGCUGCAUGGUUACAUAAUGGAGAGGUGAGCAGUCUUAAGAAACGCUAAAACUGUACUUAGGAUCAGCUUAAAGAUCAAAAAAAAGGUGCUAUCUAUUGGGAAAGCUUAUCUGUGGAGCCUGCUGUCCUCAAAAACACAUGCCAGUUUAUGUUUUGGUCAAAUUAAUUAAUUACCCCCAAAAUAGAUGCUGUAAGUAAAAUAAAUUACAUAGAGUGGACAAUGAUGGUGGGGAUGAUGAAGGGCCUGGUGAAGACCCAGUCAGUGUGGGCAAAUGCACCUGGAGACUUCAGUCUCUAAAAACCAACCCCAGAUAGUUGGGAGCCACCUGGAGGGGGGCUAAAACAUUUAGUGACCCCUACUGCUACUACUUUUUUGUAUCUCGGUGUCAGGGCAGGAUGAUACAGAUAUAUCUAUAUAUCAGGGCAGGAUGCAUCUUAGCCAGCUUUAGCUAAAAGAUUUGCCUAAAUUUGUUGUGUGGAUUCUUAUAGUUUGCAGAGAGAGAAGAGGCAGUCCCAAAGGACAAUUUCUUCUCUGAUUAGGGCAAUUACAGUAGAUUAAAAAAACAGCUAAGGAGCAAUUCAAAUACAUAAGCAUAUAAGGCUAGUGCCAUUUUAAUUAUUCAAAAGCACCUUCCAGUUCCCUGACUGGGGGAUGUGCGUCUUCUCUACCAUAUUUUCCAGGCCUGCAGGAAGUUUCAGGUAUUUUAAGGACUUUUAAGAUGUCCUGUGCUUAAAUACCUCAAUUUUUCCCUUCUGUUUAGGUUGUAGGAAGCCUUCUUUUAGGCCCUGAUUCAUUCAGUUUAAUUCAGGAGUGUAACUUCCCAUGCUCCCUCUGCAGAGAGGUCUGGAGAGAGGUACUCUGUUUACCUAAGAUUUGAUCCCCUCCCCUCCAGAGAUGCCUAUAGAGAGCUGAAGCUGUGCAAAAAUGCCAGUUGACAAUGAUUAUUACUCAGUUUACUAGUAUGCUUAGGGAUUAUCCUAUUUCCCACGACCUGCACAAAUAACAAACAGGUAAAAUGUCCCUUUAAUCCUUAAAUGUCUCUCUCUUUUUUUUUUUUUCUUAAUCAAGCAGGCAAAAUGAUCACUUUCUUAGCAUGCCAUUCCAGCUGGUGAUUAUCCACUGAGUUCAAUAGAUGUCCCAACUCCUCAGUUAAAGGUCUCAGUUUCAUGGCACAACUGAGCGUCUCAACUGAAGGAGCAAUUCACCCUUUUAUAUAAGACAUAGUCUGCCCAAGCUCUACUACACCACAAAACUCCUUACCUGGGAUCACAUGAAACUGCAGCAAUAACACAGCUAUGCUUGAGAGGUCAAAUGCCUCAGCCCAUCUGGAAAGAACCACUUACUCCUCUGAGCAUGGGAUUGGGAGCGAGGAUGGCCAGAUCCCAACUUCUUCAUGGGAAAAACCAGUUCACUUUUGUGGCUCACUUUUCUGUGCAAUAAAGAACUA